GUGCCUGCGCCUAUAAUCACAAACAAUGGUAACUAAAAUGCAUAGAUCACACAGAUCAUGGGCCAUGGCAGCAGAGCCCGCAGAAGUUAGAAUGGGAAAAAAAAAGUGAUGUACCUCUUGGAAGCCUCCAACUUAAGAACAGAUUCCUAGCCUCUUCACCAGUAAUUUUUCCAUCUCGGUCCCUGUCUACCUUAAUAAAUACAAUCAUAUAUUUCCUUACAUCUGCUUGAGUGAUUUUCGGCCAUGGAGCUUGAGACUGGUUCGUGUUUGAAGGAAUUUGUCCACCAGGAAAACUACCCAUAGGUGCUGGAGCGCUUGGCAUGGAAUUAAACUGGUUUUGCUUUGGAGCUGGCUGUGAAGGGAGUGAUGCUACACCCUGCAUGGGACCAGUCUGCAAUGGUUUAGGGGGGUGAUGAGGUCCAGCGGAUGGUCCAAGAGCAUUAGCACUAGGCAAACUAUUUGAAACCACAGGGGGGGAAGAUGAAUCUUGCUUUGCUUGUGGAGUUGCAGCAAAAGGGUCGACACCAAAUGUUGAGGCCGAUGAUAAUCCAUUCCCCAAAGGCACCAAUGCCUUGGAGUCAUUAGCAGCUGGCGGUGAAGACAGAAGGUUUAAAUCUGCUGAAUUCGCCUUUACAGAUGUUGUACUGGCUGGAGUGUGAGAGCCAUAGCCUGCUAUAGGAGUUGAACUCUGUGUUGGUAUUCCCGCGGUAGCAAGGUUGACCUGUGGAGAAACACCUCUGGUUGGAGUUUGUGAAGUUACACCCAAUGGACUUGCGCUUUUCUUGCCAUUAAACCAAUCAGUUGAUAGACCUGUUGUUGCUGGAACAGUAUGGUUUGGAACACCACCUGCGGGCGCCCUUGGAGCAAUUGCCUGAGCAGGAGUGUUUGCAAUUGACGCUUGUGGUGGCCUGACAACAUUACCAGGUUGAAGGACCUGUGGAUUUAGUGAUGUGCUAAGGGGGCCCUG
rnacentral:sRNA from 1 species